rnacentral:rRNA from 1 species
UACAGAGGGUGCAAGCGUUGCUCGGAAUCAUUGGGCGUAAAGGGCAGGUAGGUGGUCUGAUUUGUCUGGAGGUGAAAUCCUUGAGCUUAACUCAAGAAGUGCCCCGGAAACGGUCAGACUUACGAGUCUUGGAGAGGGUGGCGGAAUUCCCGGUGUAGCGGUGAAAUGCGUAGAGAUCGGGAGGAACACCAGAGGCGAAGGCGGCCACCUAGACAAGCACUGACACUCAACUGCGAAAGCGUGGGGAGCAAACAGG